UGAGGUUAGAUCUAAGUUUGCCAGUAUACCU
rnacentral:piRNA from 1 species